ACAAAAAAAACAGGUAAGGAUUGAUUCCAUCAAGCCACACAAAAAGCAAGAUAAGCCAAAAAAUUCUAAGAGUCCAAAGAUGCCUCUGUGUCUUAUUUUGCAGAGUUUAAUGCUAAUUUCCUAAUUCUCUAGCUCUCUUCUUCACAGAUUCACAUGGAGAGUCAUUUAGUUGUUUGGUGGUGUUCUUUCUCCCUUCACCAACUUUUCCUAAUAUUUAUGGUUCUCUAUUUUAUCUUUCUUUUGCUCUUUAACCCCCAAUUUUUUUUUGUCAUCACCAUGAACAAAAAGGAGUACCACAGAAAAAUCAGAAGGGAAAAUAAACCUACUUAUUCAUUCAAUCAACAAGUGUUCACCCUCAGGAACCCAGUAAGGACUCUUAGAGGGUGAUAAGGAAAGGAAAUGCUCCAAUGGCAUUGGGACGCCCGUUAAAAAUCCCCAGGGAGAUAUUCCAAUUGAAUUUAAGAAUCCCGUGUUACUAACAAGUCCGGACACCUCUCAAAAUACCCAACACUUAAGCAAGAAGCUAUUCCCCUGCCAUCAUCUAAGCCAAAGUUAAUCACUAUCAUAAAACUGCCCAUUUCGUCAGCUAGUCACUCAAUUACCCAAUAUUCUCUGAGAAUAUUAUUCAGUAUUCUCAGAACUCCCACUAUGAAGGGCCCUAUGCACUGCAGGAGAUACAAGGAGACAAAAUUACUGGACUUUCAUUUAUUUUCUUUUAACUGCCUGGAAAAAUAAGGCUCACGGGGUUAAAUGAGACACAGGUGAGACCCGUUCAUGCAACGUCAAGCAAGGCAGAACUUAGGGAUAAAAGCGGGCCAUCCCCAAACCCGCUUCCCUCCGUCCCGGACAAACCAUGACUUUUCCAGCCCCUCCGUGCUCCUUGGGUUCCUAGCCCUGGUGCUCCUUGGGUUCCUUACACCGGCGCUCCUGAGCAGAAUAAAGAGAGUUCAUCCUAAUGAGGAAAACAGCUCUCCACAUCCUAGCACACUAUGUGCCCUGAGGACAGUGUUAACAUAGUUAAUCUUUUUUUUUCUUUUUUUCCCCCUCAAGUCAUCAAGCUAUAUUCUCCUUCAGAAAAUCCAAACACUUGUGGGAUCAAAGUCAGGAGUACUCAGAAAUGAAAUCCAUUCUCCUAAUUUCUUUUCUGCCUGUUCCUUAAAUCCCUAGAGACACCAUGUAAUACCACUGCUAGCUUCCUCUGCUCCUUCAAGAAAGAAAGGAGAGGAAAAAAAAAAAAGAAAAUGAGCUGGAAGAAAGUAGGUGUAGAAUAUUCAAGAUACUAUAUGAAACCCACAAGCCUCCAACAUGGCGGAUCCAACUCCUCUCCCUCACGUACAUCCCCAAGCCUGGGGCUGCCAUGUAGCCCAAUUAAGGUCUAUCCCUGAAAGUAUCCCUGCUGCGUGGAGCUGUGCAUUGGGGCACACAGGAAGAGGAGGGGAAGAAGCACUUUUUCCUACAAAUACAAGUGCUUAGAAAAGUGUCCGGCCCCUAAUUCGUGAUAUGAAAAUGUUUGCUGAUAAAUUGAAAUAAUGAGUGUAAGAAUGAAUUAAAGAACAGAAGCAUU